GAUGAACGCUGGCGGCGUGCCUAAUACAUGCAAGUCGAGCGAACGGACGAGAAGCUUGCUUCUCUGAUGUUAGCGGCGGACGGGUGAGUAACACGUGGAUAACCUACCUAUAAGACUGGGAUAACUUCGGGAAACCGGAGCUAAUACCGGAUAAUAUUUUGAACCGCAUGGUUCAAAAGUGAAAGACGGUCUUGCUGUCACUUAUAGAUGGAUCCGCGCUGCAUUGGCUAGUUGGUAAGGUAACGGCUUACCAAGGCAACGAUGCAUAGCCGACCUGAGAGGGUGAUCGGCCACACUGGAACUGAGACACGGUCCAGACUCCUACGGGAGGCAGCAGUAGGGAAUCUUCCGCAAUGGGCGAAAGCCUGACGGAGCAACGCCGCGUGAGUGAUGAAGGUCUUCGGAUCGUAAAACUCUGUUAUUAGGGAAGAACAUAUGUGUAAGUAACUGUGCACAUCUUGACGGUACCUAAUCAGAAAGCCACGGCUAACUACGUGCCAGCAGCCGCGGUAAUACGUAGGCGGCAAGCGUUAUCCGGAAUUAUUGGGCGUAAAGCGCGCGUAGGCGGUUUUUUAAGUCUGAUGUGAAAGCCCACGGCUCAACCGUGGAGGGUCAUUGGAAACUGGAAAACUUGAGUGCAGAAGAGGAAAGUGGAAUUCCAUGUGUAGCGGUGAAAUGCGCAGAGAUAUGGAGGAACACCAGUGGCGAAGGCGACUUUCUGGUCUGUAACUGACGCUGAUGUGCGAAAGCGUGGGGAUCAAACAGGAUUAGAUACCCUGGUAGUCCACGCCGUAAACGAUGAGUGCUAAGUGUUAGGGGGUUUCCGCCCCUUAGUGCUGCAGCUAACGCAUUAAGCACUCCGCCUGGGGAGUACGACCGCAAGGUUGAAACUCAAAGGAAUUGACGGGGACCCGCACAAGCGGUGGAGCAUGUGGUUUAAUUCGAAGCAACGCGAAGGACCUUACCAAAUCUUGACAUCCUUUGACAACUCUAGAGAUAGAGCCUUCCCCUUCGGGGGACAAAGUGACAGGUGGUGCAUGGUUGUCGUCAGCUCGUGUCGUGAGAUGUUGGGUUAAGUCCCGCAACGAGCGCAACCCUUAAGCUUAGUUGCCAUCAUUAAGUUGGGCACUCUAAGUUGACUGCCGGUGACAAACCGGAGGAAGGUGGGGAUGACGUCAAAUCAUCAUGCCCCUUAUGAUUUGGGCUACACACGUGCUACAAUGGACAAUACAAAGGGCAGCGAAACCGCGAGGUCAAGCAAAUCCCAUAAAGUUGUUCUCAGUUCGGAUUGUAGUCUGCAACUCGACUACAUGAAGCUGGAAUCGCUAGUAAUCGUAGAUCAGCAUGCUACGGUGAAUACGUUCCCGGGUCU
rnacentral:rRNA from 1 species